UGCCAGCCGCCGCGGUAAUACGAAGGGUGCUAGCGUUGUUCGGAAUUACUGGGCGUAAAGAGCAUGUAGGCGGAUGAAUUAGUCAGAGGUGAAAGCCCCGAGCUCAACUUGGGAACUGCCUUUGAUACUGUUUAUCUAGAGUCCGAGAGAGGUUAGUGGAAUUCCCAGUGUAGAGGUGAAAUUCGUAGAUAUUCGGAGGAACACCAGUGGCGAAGGCGGCUCACUGGCUCGAUAUUGACGCUGAGGCGCGAAGGCGUGGGUAGCGAACGGGAUUAGAUA
rnacentral:rRNA from 1 species